rnacentral:rRNA from 1 species
AGAGUUUGAUCCUGGCUCAGGAUGAACGCUGGCGGCGUGCUUAACACAUGCAAGUCGAACGGGGGCAGGAGGAAACCUAGUGAAUCCUGCCCUAGUGGCGGACGGGUGAGUAACGCGUGGGCAACCUGCCGCAUACCGGGGGAUAACACUUAGAAAUAGGUGCUAAUACCGCAUAAGCGCACAGAGCCGCAUGGCUUGGUGUGAAAAACUCCGGUGGUAUGCGAUGGGCCCGCGUCUGAUUAGCUUGUUGGCGGGGCAGCGGCCCACCAAGGCGACGAUCAGUAGCCGGCCUGAGAGGGUGGACGGCCACAUUGGGACUGAGACACGGCCCAGACUCCUACGGGAGGCAGCAGUGGGGAAUAUUGCACAAUGGGGGAACCCUGAUGCAGCGACGCCGCGUGAGUGAAGAAGUAUUUCGGUAUGUAAAGCUCUAUCAGCAGGGAAGAAAAUGACGGUACCUGACUAAGAAGCCCCGGCUAACUACGUG